AACGAACGCUGGCGGCAUGCCUAACACAUGCAAGUCGAACGAGACCUUCGGGUCUAGUGGCGCACGGGUGCGUAACGCGUGGGAAUCUGCCCAAAGGUUCGGAAUAACUCAGGGAAACCUGAGCUAGUACCGGAUAAUGUCGCAAGACCAAAGAUUUAUUGCCUCUGGAUGAGCCCGCGUAGGAUUAGCUAGUUGGUGGG
rnacentral:rRNA from 1 species